AACUUAAAUGAAUUGACGGGGCCCGCACAAGCGGUGGAGCAUGUGGUUUAAUUCGAGGCAACGCGAAGAACCUUACCUGGGCUUGACAUCCCGUGCUACCCCUGGAAACAGGGGAUCCCCGCAAGGGGCGCGGAGACAGGUGUUGCAUGGCUGUCGUCAGCUCGUGUCGUGAGAUGUUGGGUUAAGUCCCGCAACGAGCGCAACCCUUGUCCUUAGUUACCAUCGGUUCGGCCGGGCACUCUAAGGAGACUGCCGGUGAUAAGCCGGAGGAAGGUGGGGACGACGUCAAGUCAUCAUGGCCCUUACGCCCAGGGCUACACACGUGCUACAAUGGCCGGUACAGUGGGUUGCGAGACCGCAAGGUGGAGCUAAUCCCAAAAAGCCGGUCUCAGUUGGGAUUGGAGUCUGCAACUCGACUCCAUGAACCUGGAAUCGCUAGUAAUCGCGCAUCAGCUACGGCGCGGUGAAUACGUUCCCGGGCCUU
rnacentral:rRNA from 1 species